rnacentral:rRNA from 1 species
GACGAACGCUGGCGGCGUGCUUAACACAUGCAAGUCGAACGGAAAGGCCCUGCUUUUGUGGGGUGCUCGAGUGGCGAACGGGUGAGUAACACGUGAGUAACCUGCCCUUGACUUUGGGAUAACUUCAGGAAACUGGGGCUAAUACCGGAUAGGAGCUCCUGCUGCAUGGUGGGGGUUGGAAAGUUUCGGCGGUUGGGGAUGGACUCGCGGCUUAUCAGCUUGUUGGUGGGGUAGUGGCUUACCAAGGCUUUGACGGGUAGCCGGCCUGAGAGGGUGACCGGCCACAUGGGGACUGGGAUACGGCCCAGACUCCUACGGGAGGCAGCAGUGGGGAAUAUUGCACAAGGGGCGGAAGCCUGAUGCAGCAACGCCGCGUGCGGGAGGACGGCCUUCGGGUUGUAAACCGCUUUCGCCUGUGACGAAGCGUGAGUGACGGUAAUGGGUAAAGAAGCACCGGCUAACUACGU